GCCCUAGUAGCUUAGUGUUUAAAGCGCCGGUCUUGUAAUCCGGAGACCGGAGGUCAAAAUCCUCCCUAGUGCC
rnacentral:tRNA from 1 species